rnacentral:rRNA from 1 species
GGUGAACGCUGGCGGCGUGCCUAAUACAUGCAAGUCGAGCGAACGGACGAGAAGCUUGCUUCUCUGAUGUUAGCGGCGGACGGGUGAGUAACACGUGGAUAACCUACCUAUAAGACUGGGAUAACUUCGGGAAACCGUAGCUAAUACCGGAUAAUAUUUUGAACCGCAUGGUUCAAACGUGAAAGACGGUCUUGCUGUCACUUAUAGAUGGAUCCGCGCUGCAUUAGCUAGUUGGUAAGGUAACGGCUUACCAAGGCAACGAUGCAUAGCCGACCUGAGCGGGUGAUCGGCCACACGGGAACUGAGACACGGUCCAGACUCCGACGGGAGGCAGCAGUAGGGAAUCUUACGCAAUGGGCGAAAGCCUGACGGAGCAACGCCGCGUGAGUGAUGAAGGUCUUCUGAUCGUAAAACUCUGUUAUUAGGGAAGAACAUAUGUGUAAGUAACUGUGCACAUCUUGACGGUACCUAAUCAGAAAGCCACGGCUAACUACGUG